CGGCUGUCACCCGAGUGGGGGGAGCGCGCCCGGAUUGUGCUUAGGGGGUGGAGGGCCCAGCUUACUAAUGCCGAUCCCACGCCGACUUCAAGACUGUAGUCGCCAUUGUACACCAGGCGGAGGCUAGGUGUACUUGGGUGAUAAUGCGAGGUGAACCGCCACAGGCUGGAAACAGAGCAAGGAAAAGUCUCCGCUGUAGUCAGUGAAGCGAUCACGUGGGUGAAU
rnacentral:SRP_RNA from 1 species